GGGGCUAUAGUUCAGAGGCAGAGCGUUUGCAUGGCAUGCAAGAUGUCGGCGGUUCGAUUCCGCCUAGCUCCA
rnacentral:tRNA from 2 species